UACGGAGGGUGCGAGCGUUGUUCGGAAUCACUGGGCGUAAAGCGCGUGUAGGCGGCCUGCUAAGUCUGAUGUGAAAGCCCGAGGCUCACCCUCGGAAGUGCAUUGGAAACUGGCAGACUGGAGUCCCGGAGAGGAGGGUGGAAUUCCUGGUGUAGCGGUGAAAUGCGUAGAUAUCAGGAGGAACACCGGUGGCGAAGGCGGCCCUCUGGACGGUGACUGACGCUGAGACGCGAAAGCGUGGGGAGCAAACGGG
rnacentral:rRNA from 1 species